rnacentral:rRNA from 1 species
GACGAACGCUGGCGGCGGGCUUAACACAUGCAAGUCGAACGGAAGGGCCCUGCUUUUGUGGGGUGCUCGAGUGGCGAGCGGGUGAGUAACACGUGAGUAACCUGCCCUGGACUUUGGGAUAACUUCAGGAAACCGGGGAUAAUACCGGCUAGGAGCUCCUGCUGCAUGGUGGGGGUUGGACAGCUUCGGCGGUUGGGGAUGGACGCGGGGGUUAUCAGCUUGUUGGGGGGGUAGUGGCUUACCAAGUCUUUGACGGGUAGCCGGCCUGGGAGGGUGGCCAGCGUCAAUGGGCCUGCGGUACGCCCCAGUCUCGAACGUUGGGCAGCGGUCGGGAGUAUUGCCCAAUGGGCGGACGCCUGAGACAGCAACCCCGGGUUUGUGAUGACCUUCUUCUGGUUGUAAACCGCUGUCGCCUGUGACGAAGCUUGUGUGACGGUAAUAGGUGAAGAAGCACCGGCUAACUACGUG